UACGUAGGGUGCGAGCGUUAAUCGGAAUUACUGGGCGUAAAGCGUGCGCAGGCGGUUUUGUAAGUCUGUCGUGAAAUCCCCGGGCUCAACCUGGGAAUUGCGAUGGAGACUGCAAGGCUAGAAUGUGGCAGAGGGGGGUAGAAUUCCACGUGUAGCAGUGAAAUGCGUAGAGAUGUGGAGGAACACCGAUGGCGAAGGCAGCCCCCUGGGAUAACACUGACGCUCAUGCACGAAAGCGUGGGGAGCAAACAGG
rnacentral:rRNA from 1 species